AUCUGAGCCCAUUCCCCAUUCCCAAACCCUCACCCCCCCUCCCCCCCCCUCCGCCGGCAUCGAACCGCCGGAGCGGCCGCGCCACCAUGCACCGCCUCCUCCCUCCUCGCGGCUGCCUGCUCCGACGCCUGUCCACGGCCGCCGAGACCUCCGCAGCCUUGCCCCAUCCACCGCGGCGCCCGCUGGCCGACUCACUCUACCGCCGCGUCACUGCCGUAUGGAACCCGAACCUCCCGCUGACUCCCGUGCUGGAGCAAUGGGCGGUCACGGAGGGCCGGGCCGUCGAGAAGAACAACCUCAUGUGCAUCGUCAAGAAGCUCGUCCGCCUCCGCCGCUUCUCCCACGCGCUCGAGCUGUCAAUGUGGAUGACCGACCGGCGGUACAUGUACCUGUCGCCUGGCGACGUCGCGUACCGGCUGGAGCUGAUCAGCAAGGUGCAAGGCCUCGAGAGUGCCGUGAACUACUGGAAGAGCUUGUCGAUCCAGGUGAAGAAAUCUCAUUGCUACGGAUCCCUCCUGAAAUGCUAUGCGGAGGCAAAGUCCGUCGACGAGGCCGAAAAGCUCUUCGCGGAGAUGCAGGACUUGGGAAUGAUGAGAUCAUAUCCUUACAAUGUGAUGAUGAAGCUUUACUGGGAGACCGGGCAGGUUGAGAGGGUGCACACCAUGUACAGGACCAUGGAAGAGAGCGGCAUCAAGCCUGAUGUGUUCAGUAUCAACAUUCUGUUGACGGUGCUUGCAGCUGCUGGGAAUUUUGAUGGCAUUGAGGAAAUUAUCAAGAAGGUCGACCCGAAGAUCGUGAAUUGGCACUCACAUGCCAUUGUAGCCAGGGCUUUCAUGGAAGCCGGGCAGCAAGGAAAGGCCUUGCGAGCUAUCCAGGAAUCAGAAAAGCAGAUAGGUCGGAAGGAUGAGAGGGUUGCAUAUGGGUUCUUGCUUUCCAUGUUUGCUGAUUUGGGAAUGAGUAGUGAGGCAGACCGGGUUUGGAAUGUCUACAAGUCCAAAGUGCCGGUAUGCAACUCGAUGUACAUGUGCAGGAUAAGUGGGCUGCUUAAGAUGAAUGACAUUGAUAGUGCUGAGAAAGCCUUUAGAGAGUGGGAAAGUAGGUAUGUUCACCAUGAUAUCCACUUAACAAACUUACUGAUAAAUGCUUACUGCGCCAAAGGUCUUAUGGAGAAGGCAGAAGCUCUCCUGGAUGAAGCUAUCGCCAAAGGGAGGACACCUCACCGUGGUACUUGGUAUAGGUUGGCUAGUGGAUUUUUCCAGGACGGCCAGGUGUCGAAGGCGGUGGAUAUGACAAGGAAAGCUCUUGCUUGUGCGUCUUCUCGAUGGGAACCUGACCUAACAAAUGUGCUAAUGAGCCUGGAACAUUUCAUGGAGCAAAAGAAUGUUGAAGCAGCCGAGGAGAUGGCAAGCAUGCUACGGAAUUUAGUACCUUUGACAAGGGAUGUUUACCACAUUUUACUGGAGACAUAUGUUCAUGCAGGACAACCAGUGUCAGAUUUACUUGAUCGCAUGAAAAAAGAUGGUUUUGAGGCUGAUGAAGAAACAGAUAAAAUCAUCGCUGGAAUAUGCCAGUAGAUAUCCGCAGCUUCCUAUCAGUAGGCAAUUUCGUUGGUUGUUUAUUUUCCAUGGCAGGAGCACCUCGUCAUGAUCUUGGAGAACUCGUGUAAUUCUUUUUCCGAGUUUGCCACCAUCCUGAUAAGAACACGUACGUACGCCUCCUAAGGAAAAUUUUAUUUCUCCAAGCAACAGAGGGUUCCUUGCGAUCAGCCGUGUGAAGUUUCUAUUGAUUUGCGUCGCCUUCAUCAGUUUAAGGGGGAAGAGAAAGCUUCCGUUUGUUGAUUUGUUGUGGGGGCCAGUCCAGUCAGCGAUUAAUCACCCAUCUUGCGUCCGUCCACGAGCACCACCAUGUGAUAUGAUUGCGUGCCUAAAUUCCGUUCUGCUUUGGGUGUGGUUGGUUAACCCACUCCUUUCUUUUUCUUCCGCGUAUCACUGUAUCACACACACAUAUCAUUUUGGCCCCUUGUCGUACGAUUUGCUUGCAUACAU